UAAAAAAUAAAAAAGAAUAAUCUAAAAUAUGAAAGGGCCCAAAAUUUUAACCCUAACUCCUCAUUUUUCUUAAGAUAGCCGUCAACUAACCUAUCAUUCUUCAUCCAUAACUUCCCCUCUUCUUUCUCGUACUUCCUCCCUCCUCUGAAACUCUAAAUCCUUUCUCUUCUACCUUCAUCCUUCAAUGGAUCAAUGUCCUAAAAACUCCGAGCCGAGGUCUGAUUAACCUUCUCUCCGUCGUCGUCUUCCUCUAUUUACAAGUGUCCUGUCCAUACCGUCCGAUUAACUCCUUUAAUUUCUCUUUUACCUUCAUCCUUCAAUGUUUUGUUUUGCUCUGUUUAUGGUCGCGCGUUAGAAGCCGAGUACCGCGAACUCAAAACGAUGCGUUUUAUGGUUUCUUUCAAUUUGGGGCGACAGACUGAGAGAGAUUGCUAAUGGCUCACUAUGGGAGAUUUAUUGGUGGUUGAGGUUAGUGGAGGCACUGCGGUGGUUGAGGUUGGUGGAAAGCGUUGCGGUUGUUGAGGUUGGUGAAAGCGCAACUGCGGUUGAAGGCUUGAAGCACAUUUUUUUUUUUUUUUUGGAUUUUAGGGGAAACAGUACUAGCAUAUUGAUAGUUAUGCUAAUUGAGUUGUAUCAAUGUACUUGAGAUGUAAUUUUUUUUAGGCAUGAGAUGUAAUUAAUUUUUUUUUAAAUAGAUGAUAUGUAAUUAAUUGAAUAAGAUAAUAAAGUUUGUUUCAAUUUGGCA